rnacentral:misc_RNA from 1 species
UCGAUUUGAUUACAAUCUCACCCAACAAGCACUUGUAGCCGUGGAUAACAACACGCCUAUCAACCGUGAUCUCAUCAGCAACUUCCUUGCAGAUCCCGUGCAUGGAGCUAUUAAAGUGUGUGCUGAACUAAGACCCACAGUUGAUAUUUCUGUAACAGCAGAUGCUGAUUUUGUCCGCCCUGAGCUCAGGCAAUCUGUCAAUUAAGGGCUUUACGGGUCACUUUGUGAGCGAGCAAGUGAGAAUUAGUGAUGUUGAGAUUUCAUAUUGUUGAUGUGUGUUGGUGAAGGCAAGAAUACUUAAAUCUGUUAGCUUAUAAGAAUCUUAGCCGCUUUUCGUUGUUUAGUUACGUUGGUACUAGCACUUUUUUAUGUAACGAAUAACAGAUUCAAAAUUGGGAACCCUUGUAGCAACUAUAAAAUGUGGGUUAUGGCAGUAGCAUGUUUCAG